CGUGAGAUGUUGGGUUAAGUCCCGCAACGAGCGCAACCCCUAUCCUAUGUUACCAGCAAGUAAAGUUGGGGACUCAUGGGAGACUGCCAGGGACAACCUGGAGGAAGGCGGGGAUGACGUCAAGUCAUCAUGCCCCUUAUGUCUUGGGCUACACACGUACUACAAUGGUCGGAAACAGAGGGAAGCGAAGCCGCGAGGCAGAGCAAACCCCAGAAACCCGAUCUCAGUUCGGAUCGCAGGCUGCAACCCGCCUGCG
rnacentral:rRNA from 1 species